rnacentral:rRNA from 1 species
UACGGGGGGAGCAAGCGUUGUUCGGAUUUACUGGGCGUAAAGGGCGCGUAGGCGGCGCAACAAGUCACUUGUGAAAUCUCCGGGCUUAACCCGGAGCGGCCAAGUGAUACUGUCGUGCUAGAGUGCGGAAGGGGCUACUGGAAUUCUCGGUGUAGCGGUGAAAUGCGUAGAUAUCGAGAGGAACACCUGCGGCGAAGGCGGCAUCCUGGACCGGCAUUGACGCUGAGGAGCGAAAGCUAGGGGAGCAAACGGG